rnacentral:rRNA from 1 species
GAUGAACGCUAGCGGCAGGCUUAAUACAUGCAAGUCGUACGGGAUCCGAGGUAGCAAUACUUUGGUGAGAGUGGCGCACGGGUGCGUAACACGUAUGCAACCUACCUUUAACCGGGACACAACCCACCGAAAGGUGAGCUAAUAUCCCAUAACACUGCGAAGUGGCAUCACUUUGCAGUUAAAACUCCGGUGGUUAUUGAUGGGCAUGCGCGACAUUAGCUAGUUGGUGAGGUAACGGCCCACCAAGGCUACGAUGUCUAGGGGUUCUGAGAGGAUUAUCCCCCACACUGGUACUGAGACACGGACCAGACUCCUACGGGAGGCAGCAGUAAGGAAUAUUGGUCAAUGGGCGCAAGCCUGAACCAGCCAUGCCGCGUGAAGGAUGACGGCCCUAUGGGUUGUAAACUUCUUUUGUACGGGAAAAACCACCGGUCGUGUAUCGGUGCUGAUGGUACCGUAAGAAUAAGCAUCGGCUAACUCCGUGCCAGCAGCCGCGGUAAUACGU